CAGGAGACGGACCUGCCCGGGGAUGUCUCCUGUGUGCCAGAGGGAGUUCCUCAGAUACUCACCUGGACCAGUCUGAGACUUCACCAUCUGGAGGUUAGAAAAAGCCACGAAAGAUGGAAGAGCACAGGGGGCGCCACAGCAGAUGAUCCACAUAUUUGAUUAAACAGAUAUUCUUUACACUGGAUGCUUCUUCACACAACCAUCCCAUUUAUCCAGGCUUGGGACCCUCCCCUGUGGCUGGGGUCAAUUCAUUUUUUUUUUUUUGUCCAAUUGUCCAUUGUCCAACAAUGAGCAAUAGGGAUUGGGUGCCGUGCUCGUCAACCCUUUGGUCUCAAGGCAAGUUCUCUUUCCGCUUGGCUAUGGGCUGCCCCGAAGAACACAGAAAAUGAGUAUUGCUGUGUUUUUUAUAUCUUUUUUGAUACUGAUGUCAACAGAUAGUUUCAUAUGAUGUUGAGGAUUAAGUGACAUUGACUGAUAAAGUGACACUUUGACAUCAUAAAGUGACACUUUUUAACAAGAGGUACAUGUGUUAAGUCACACGACUGUUACUACAUGGUAAUAGUGUGGUAAUAGUACGGCAAUAAAUGUGUAAUAGAAAGGUAAAAUGAUGGUAAUACUGUCCUCAAUCUAAUGUAGUUUCCAGUUUGUAAUAGUAUAGUAAUGAGGAGUUUAUAUCAGAGUGAUACCAUGUUGUUUCUAAGGUAAUAGUUUGUGUGUCCCACACACAUUUAUAAUUGUCUUCUCCAUUGUUUUACUUGGUGAUAACGAUAAAAAUAAGUUGGUAUAGGAUAAUAAAAACUAAUAUCUACCUCCUUUUUAGAAAAGGAUCAUAAUAUAAUAUCCUUCUCUUCCAAUCAGAUGAUUUUCCACCAAAAUUGUACACACUGGCCCUUUAACCAUCAUGACCGUGGAGACACAGUCGUCUCCCAGUCCGUCCUGGUCUAUGUCUCCCUGUGAGGGAUUGUCCACUGUCCUGCAGUUGUCGCAUGCGUCACCGUGGAGAUCCUUAUCGCUGUUCUUCUGGUUCUUAUUAGGACUGAGCCAGCAGUUGUCCUGCCACAGAAAAUGCGUCCCCGAUGGCGUCCCUGUCUGCGUCCUCCUGGCCAGAGUUUGGCACAAACACACAGUUGUCCUGGGGAGAACACACAGGGAAACACCACACGUAGAGUUAAGUGAUAAUACCAUAAAGGGGUUUGAGUGUAAGAGGAGGACAUGGGCUGUAGAAACAAGUACCUGCCUACAGUUGUUGUCUCUGCAGCGGAGCUGAGCGUCAGGAUAUCCAUCAAUGUCUGUGUCCUUCCCACACAUGUAACCGUUACCCGCCCAACCGACACCACACUGAACCACACAGACGACGCACAGACAGACAGACAGAGGGAAACAAUGAUGGGAUUCACAAACGUCCAGUUACCGUGGGCGUCGCAGGGGCUGAUUUGACCGUUGGGGCAGAGCCUGGAGCCGAGGCAACCUUUGACCUGGUCACCUGUGAAACCACUUCUACACUCACCGCAGCGGAAGGAGCCCUGGUCCAGUGUAGCCGAGAGGGCAUUUCCCACAGCGGAAACCGGGAGCGGUGUUCACACACGGGACGCCGGGGAAACACGGCUUAAACUGGCACUGAAACACAACAACGAAACAAACUAAAGAUGAAGUCAAGAGCUACUUCUGUGGUUUCACAGACACAUUCAGACAAUUCUCACUUAGACAUCAAGGUGUACAGAUAUGGAACUCUAAAAUUCAUAGAGCCGUCUUCAUUAGAAAUGUUUGAAAGAAAUGUUUAUUACUGUUGAUUCACGAUGUUUCAGAUUUUCUUUUACUAUUUAUUUUGUUACUCUUAUUACUAUUCACUGAUUUUUUUUUCC